UAUCUGAUGUCCCAGUUUCUGCUUCCAGGUGGCGUCUUGAGAACAGAAUCUGGUGGACCAAUCCAUAACAACAGAACCACAAUAACCUCUGCAUGUGGCUCCUGCUUGCUGGCUUGACUUCUCAUUUUGAGUUCUCCAGAAUCCCUGGACCUGCUUCCGUCUAUUCUACUCAACUCUCGAUUCCCUGUCCAGGACUAGACCCGGAUGAGCCCCUCCCCUUUCUGCUCUGGAGUUGUGGGAGGCAUGCCUGGCCUCAGAUGUCCCUCAACCAGCUUGGGGGGGGGGGGCCCAGCGGAAGAGCCUGUGGCCUCCUGGGCCAGUGUCAGAGCUGAUCUGCUCUCCCUGCUCUGGGUUGCAGCCACUCCUCCACCCCCUGCACUGUUGACCAACAGCCUGGGUCUGACGUGGAACCAGAAGAAUUUCCAUUCAGCUGGGACCCAGAUGGGGGGCCUCUCUGCCAGUAAGGAAACAGACCCAGAGGGGUGAAGUCACUUAUCUAAGACUGCAAUGGCCUAGAAUGCAGGUUGGUAUGAUCCAGAGCUCAAACCAGGAAAAGGAAGUGCACCUGGACCCCCACCCUGACCUCUCCCUGGGCAGCAGUGGAGAUCAGCCCUGGUCACUGAGAGUUGGCUGGACUGAGAUUAGAAGGCAAGGCCACCUUCAGGCCAUCAGGGCUCAUCCCACCUGGGUAGCUACAUUACCUGCAAGAUCUUCCUUGGAUGAAACUAGUCUUGGAGAGCUGCUUCCUGGUUCAAUUCUGAGUGACAGUCUGUAAACAAAGAUUUUCACAAAAUCAGACGUGCCCUGGCUUCUGAGAGGGGGAAUAGAGUAUAUGUACAUUUGGGGUUGGGAGAUGGGAUGUCUGUGAGGGGCCAUGGUAGCUGUGGAAUCCAGGCUCCUGAUCACAGCUGCAUACAUUUCAUAAAGGAGGAAACUGAGGAGCGAUGGGGCUAAGUAGCUUCCUUUCCCAAGUCCACAGGGCCAGCAGUGGCAGAGCAGCGCAGGGAUGCUCUGACAUGCAUGAAGGUUCCAUGGGCCACAGCUGGCAACCUGAGUACCCUUUCUGGAGUGGAGCCAGCCCCCAGUGAGAUAAGGAAACCCCAAGUCCACAUAACAAACUGAAUGCUUGCUUACUGUCUCCAGGGAGGUGGUGCCUCUGACUCCCCCAGGCUAUAGUGGGGGAAAUCCAGGACCCCUGGGCUCCCGGCCAGCAAGAGGGGAACCAGUCCCUCUGUACAAAGGAGGAGGGUCAGGCGCCUCCCUGCUGUAGCAGAGGCAUGGGACAUUCAGAAAGUCUCCUGAAUGGAAGCAAGAAGAAAAGAAAUGGCCUAGCAACACCACAAAGAAGGAAAGAGAAAGGGAGGCAGUGCUGCCCUGGCCUGACCAGGAGCACAGGAAAUCCCCCUGGGUUCUGUCAGUGGAGGGAGGGCUUAUUAAGAAGACGGCUGAACAGAAUAAAAUCUGAAAAGUGAGAUGAUGAAACAAAGGAAUAGGAUGGAACAGGAGACUGUGGGCUGUGGGGACCAAAUGGAAAACUAACUGAAACAAGAGUGUGCUGGCCGAACCUCUAAGCGGAAACAGGUCACCUGGGGACCACUGAAGACUGAGGAGGAGAUCGAAGCCCUCAGAGAGGAGUUGAGGACGAGGAGGGCAAAGAGCAUGAAACACAUGGCUCCCUGCAAGACAGAAGUCAAAAAAUGAUACAGAAGAGGAAGUCCAAAGGAGCAGAGAAGCCCUGCGUGCCCAGGAGACUCUGUGCUCUGAGGCUGUACCCUAUAGGGCUUUGGUGUUUCAUGGGGUUCUUCAACCCCAGGCAGACAAAACAUGGAAUUGCUCGAGACUUUUCUCUACAGCAGCACUCAAAGCCAGGAAGCCACGCGCAAGGUCUGCAGAUCUAGGGGAGAGCAGAGCCCCCAGAGCACGCAGACAUUGCCAUGGAGGACUCAGGGAGUGCAGGAGCCAUGAGGCCGGGGAGGGGCCUGCUUCUUGAUGACAUUCAGCUAAGUAAGGGAUCAUUUUUAAAAUAAAGACUCCAGGAACAGAGACAAUGCAGAGGAACAACAGGUGGUAAGAAUUGAAUCCAUUUAAAAAUAUGAAACAGUAGGAAUUAUGAUUCCUGAACAUGAUGUUUAUGUUAUAGACUUGGACUAUGUGGUCCAAUAAUAACACAACUAACAAAAAUCUGGAAGGUGGUGGAGGUGAGGGAGGGAACAGUGCUCAGUUUAAUCUUUCAAAACCAGAGCCAACUGGUACUGGCCUCAGUAGAACCCAGAUACAAGAAGACUCACUGAUUCAGCCUCUUCAUGCUUUCUCUGACUCCUUUAAAGAAUCUAGGGAGGCUCAUUUGGGAAAUAAUGUCCCUUGUAAAAGAAAUACUUAUUUAGAGAGCAG